rnacentral:rRNA from 1 species
UACGUAGGGUGCGAGCGUUAAUCGGAAUUACUGGGCGUAAAGGGCGCGCAGGCGGCCCUCCAAGUCAGGCGUGAAAGCCCCGGGCUCAACCCGGGAAUAGCGCUUGAGACUGGGGGGCUUGAGUUCGGGAGAGGAGAGUGGAAUUCCCAGUGUAGAGGUGAAAUUCGUAGAUAUUGGGAAGAACACCGGUGGCGAAGGCGGCUCUCUGGACCGACACUGACGCUGAGGCGCGAAAGCGUGGGGAGCAAACAGG